rnacentral:tRNA from 1 species
UGAUAAGAGAGGAAUUUAACCUCGUUAGCAAAUUUACAAUCUGCCGCCUAACUCUCGGCCAUCUUACC